rnacentral:rRNA from 1 species
AUUGAACGCUGGCGGCAGGCCUAACACAUGCAAGUCGAACGAGUGGCGGACGGGUGAGUAAUGGCUGGGAAACUGCCUGAUGGAGGGGGAUAACUACUGGAAACGGUAGCUAAUACCGCAUACCAUCGGAUGUGCCCAGAUGGGAUUAGCGUGUUGGUGGGGUAACGGCGCACCAAGGCGACGAUCACUAGCUCGUCUGAGAUGAUGACCAGCCACACUGUAACUGAGACACGGGCCAGAGUCCUACGGGAGGAAGCAGUGGGGAAUAUUGCACAAGUGGCGCAAGCCUGAUGCAUCCAUGCCGCGUGUAUGAAGAAGGCCUUCGGGUUGUAAAGUACUUUCAGCGGGGAGGCGUUACCCGCAGAAGAAGCACCGGCUAACGCCGUGCCAGCCGCCGCGGUAAUAC